rnacentral:rRNA from 1 species
AUUGAACGCUGGCGGCAGGCCUAACACAUGCAAGUCGAGCGGAUGAAGGGAGCUUGCUCCUGGAUUCCGCGGCGGACGGGUGAGUAAUGCCUAGGAAUCUGCCUGGUAGUGGGGGAUAACGUCCGGAAACGGGCGCUAAUACCGCCUACGUCCUGAGGGAGAAAGUGGGGGAUCUUCGGACCUCACGCUCUCAGAUGAGCCUAGGUCGGAUUAGCUAGUUGGUGGGGUAAAGGCCUACCAAGGCGACGAUCCGUAACUGGUCUGAGAGGAUGAUCAGUCACACUGGAACUGAGACACGGUCCAGACGACUACGGGAGGCAGCAGUGGGGAAUAUUGGACAAUGGGCGAAAGCAUGAUCCAGCCAUGCCGCGUGUGUGAAGAAGGUCUUCGGAUUGUAAAGCACUUUAAGUUGGGAGGAAGGGCAGUAAGUUAAUACCUUGCUGUUUUGACGUUACCAACAGAAUAAGCACCGGCUAACUUCGUG